rnacentral:rRNA from 1 species
GUGUCAGCAGCCGCGGUAAUACGGAAGGUCCGGGCGUUAUCCGGAUUUAUUGGGUUUAAAGGGAGCGCAGGCGGAGGUGCAAGCGUGCCGUGAAAGCGCGGGGCUCAACCCCGUACAGCGGCGCGAACUGCUCCCCUUGGUUGCGGGAAGGGAAGGCGGAACUCGUGGUGUAGCGGUGAAAUGCAUAGAUAUCACGAAGAACUCCGAUCGCGAAGGCAGCCUUCCGGCCCGUCAACGACGCUCAUGCUCGAAGGCGCGGGUAUCAAACAGGAUUAGAUACCCUGGUAGUCCGCGCAGUAAACGAUGGACACUCGGGAUUUGGGCCUUUUGCCUGAGUCCCCCAGCGAAAGCGUUAAGUGUCCCACCUGGGGAGUACGCCGGCAACGGUGAA